UGCGGAAGGAUCAUUAUAGAAAAUGACGUGAACUCUUAACGGAGUUCUCUCAAAGUGUUGGAGGGGAAGGCCUGCGCUUAAUUGCGCGGCUGUUUUUAAUCUCCUCCGCCUUUGAUACACACAUUGGAGUUUCUACUUUUUUGUUCUCUUUGGGAGGGUUCUGCUCUCCCAGAGGUAAACACAAACAAUCUUUUAUUAUACUAUUAACACAGUCAAAUGAAUUUUAAAAACAAAAUAUUCAAAACUUUCAACAACGGAUCUCUUGGUUCUCGCAUCGAUGAAGAACGCAGCGAACUGCGAUACGUAAUGUGAAUUGCAGAAUUCCGUGAAUCAUCGAAUCUUUGAACGCACAUUGCGCCCCUUGGUAUUCCGGGGGGCAUGCCUGUUUGAGCGUCAUUUCCCUCUCAAACUUUACGUUUGGUAGUGAGCGAUACUCUACUCUGGAGUUUGCUUGAAAAUGGGAGGCCAUAGGCGAAGCAUUGCUUUCCAAUCCUGCGGCCCUCUGCUUACUUCCCCUUGUGGGUUGUGGCAGGGGAAAGCGGGAGGCGCCUUGCCACGAUAGUCGUAUUAGGUUUUACCGACUCGGCGAAAGUGAAGAGGUUUGCUUUUUAAAAAGAAGCAGGCAGCGUCUGGCUUGACAAAAUUCUCAAAGUUUGACCUCAAAUCAGGUAGGAUUACCCGCUGAACUUAAGCAUA
rnacentral:rRNA from 1 species